GUCUGCCUACGGGGGGCAGCAGUAGGGAAUCUUCCACAAUGGGCGAAAGCCUGAUGGAGCAACGCCGCGUGGGUGAAGAAGGUCUUCGAAUCGUAAAACCCUGUUGUUAGAGAAGAAAGUGCGUGAGAGUAACUGUUCACGUUUCGACGGUAUCUAACCAGAAAGCCACGGCUAACUACGUGCCAGCAGCCGCGGUAAUACGUAGGUGGCAAGUGUUAUCCGGAUUUAUCGGGCGUAAAGGGAACGCAGGCGGUCUUUUAAGUCUGAUGUGAAAGCCUUCGGCUUAACCGGAGUAGGGCAUUGGG
rnacentral:rRNA from 1 species